rnacentral:tRNA from 1 species
GGCGACGUGGCCAAGCGGUAAGGCAGAAGCCUGCAAAGCUUUUACCCCCGGUUCGAAUCCGGGCGUCGCCUCCA